rnacentral:rRNA from 1 species
UACGUAGGGGGCGAGCGUUGUCCGGAAUCAUUGGGCGUAAAGCGCGUGUAGGCGGCCCGGUAAGUCCGCUGUGAAAGUCCAGGGCUCAACCCUGGGAUGCCGGUGGAUACUGUCGGGCUCGAGUCCGGAAGAGGCGAGCGGAAUUCCUGGUGUAGCGGUGAAAUGCGCAGAUAUCAGGAGGAACACCAAUGGCGAAGGCAGCUCGCUGGGACGUGACUGACGCUGAGACGCGAAAGCGUGGGGAGCGAACAGG